ACACAUUCAAGUUUGGAUACCCUAAUAUCGUUAUAUACAUCUUUUUCGGUUACCGGAUUGAAAAAGUAGAACGGUUUCUUUUCAAGACAGCUUUUACAUCAGAGUUGCAAAUGUGUGGAACACGCUUCCCUGCUUCAUAAGAAAUACCACCACAUCUCCAACUACAUUUAAAUUUAUUCCAGUCAUUUGUAAUUAGUACUCUAUAGAUCUAUUGCAGUGGCAAACUUGUAAAAUAAAAUAAAAUAAA
rnacentral:lncRNA from 1 species